UCGGGAAUUUUGGGCAAUGGGCGAAAGCCUGACCCAGCAACGCCGCGUGAAGGAUGAAGUCUUUCGGGAUGUAAACUUCGAAAGAAUAGGAAGAAUUAAUGACGGUACUAUUUAUAAGCUCCGGCUAACUACGUGCCAGCAGCCGCGGUAAUACGUAGGGAGCAAGCGUUGUUCGGAUUUACUGGGCGUAAAGGGUGCGUAGGCGGCGUGAUAAGUCACUUGUGAAAUCUUCAAGCUUAACUUGAAAAAGCCAAGUGAUACUGUCGUGCUAGAGUGUAGAAAGGGCAACUGGAAUUCUUGGUGUAGCGGUGAAAUGCGUAGAUAUCAAGAGGAACACCUGAGGCGAAGGCGAGUUGCUGGGCUAACACUGACGCUGAGGCACGAAAGCUAGGGUAGCAAA
rnacentral:rRNA from 1 species